UACGCACCUCCUUUACUGAGGAUAGCCCCUCGAAAGAGGGAUUAAUACUCCGUAACAUCACGAUAUGGCAUCAUAAUGUGAUUAUAGCUCCGGCGGUUAAAGAUGGGCGUGCGCCUGAUUAGAUAGUUGGCGGGGUAACGGCCCACCAAGUCUGCGAUCAGUAACUGGUGUGAGAGCACGACCAGUCACACGGGCACUGAGACACGGGCCCG
rnacentral:rRNA from 1 species